CUUCCGGAGCUAACGCGUUAAGUAGACCGCCUGGGGAGUACGGCCGCAAGGUUAAAACUCAAAUGAAUUGACGGGGGCCCGCACAAGCGGUGGAGCAUGUGGUUUAAUUCGAUGCAACGCGAAGAACCUUACCUGGUCUUGACAUCCACGGAAGUUUUCAGAGAUGAGAAUGUGCCUUCGGGAACCGUGAGACAGGUGCUGCAUGGCUGUCGUCAGCUCGUGUUGUGAAAUGUUGGGUUAAGUCCCGCAACGAGCGCAACCCUUAUCCUUUGUUGCCAGCGGUYMGRCCGGGAACUCAAAGGAGACUGCCAGUGAUAAACUGGAGGAAGGUGGGGAUGACGUCAAGUCAUCAUGGCCCUUACGACCAGGGCUACACACGUGCUACAAUGGCGCAUACAAAGAGAAGCGACCUCGCGAGAGCAAGCGGACCUCAUAAA
rnacentral:rRNA from 1 species